rnacentral:tRNA from 1 species
GCGCGGUGCCGUGCGAGCGCGCGGCCUACGGAACCGAAGGUCAGAGGUUCGAAUCCUCUCGGGCGCGCUCCA